AGAGGGUGCAAGCGUUAAUCGGAAUUACUGGGCGUAAAGCGCACGUAGGCGGAUGGUUUAAGUCGAUUGUGAAAGCCCCCGGGGCUCAACCUGGGAACUGCAGUCGAUACUGGGCAUCUAGAGUAUGGUAGAGGUAAGUGGAAUUCCCGGUGUAGCGGUGAAAUGCAUAGAUAUCGGGAGGAACAUCAGUGGCGAAGGCGGCUUACUGGAUCAAUACUGACGCUGAGGAGCGAAAGCGUGGGGAGCAAACAGGAUUAGAGACCCUGGUAGUCCACGCCGUAAACGAUGAGAACUAGGCGUUGGGAGGCUUUGACCUCUUAGUGUCGUAGCUAACGCGUUAAGUUCUCCGCCUUGGGAGUACGGUCGCAAGAUUA
rnacentral:rRNA from 1 species